rnacentral:RNase_P_RNA from 1 species
GGAGCCGGUGAGGUGGUCGCGGGGCGGCUCGCAGGGGCGGCCCUGAGGAAAGUCCGAGCUCCAAAGGGCAGGGUGCUGGGUAACGCCCAGGGGGAGUGAUCCCACGGAAAGUGCAACAGAAAGUAGACCGCCCCGGGGAUCUGAUCGCCUGCGUGCUGCGUGGACGAUCCAUGAUCACCGUGGCAAGGGUGAAACGGUGAGGUAAG